GGGAUUUUCAAUUCGGGGGAACCUGCAAUCCAGGAUUGCUAAAGUUCCACUCGAGAAUAUAAGUAUUUUCAAAUUUGAAAAUAUAUUUUUUUUAGAAUAAAGAAAAUAUGCUUUCAUUUCACAAGAUUGCUCAAAUCCAUACAUUUUUAAUCUUGAAAUUUAUAUGCAAUAGAUUAUUUAUUCUAAUAUUUAAUUUUACAGAUACAACCCCUUG
rnacentral:lncRNA from 1 species